GGUUCGGCGUGUCCUCCGAUGCGCGACUGCGGACCAUAUGCUGGUACCGCAGCUGUGCUCAUGGAUCGCCGAGUCCGGACAAAAGACACCUAUUUCGGAUUUUAAAACGGGUUGACGCGGAUUCAGCGCCGUGACGCUGGCAAAGAGGAUAUUUAACAAGUCCGGUUUUUGUUUCUCUCCUGAAACAAUCUCAAUUUCACAUUUUAUUUAAAUAAGUCGCACCGAGAUACCGAUCGGCGCGCCGAUGCUUCACGGUGAAUCAGCCGUUAACGACGCGCACUAAACUUGACGCUUCCAGGUAAUGAACGAAAUGAGCAACGAGCUUUAUCCGGCUUGACAACGGACGGGUUGUCAUCCUGUUUACGGGCGGAUCGAAACUUUUUUAUUUAAGCCUAAAACAUCAACCCGCCAGCCGACAUCCACAGUUUCCCGUGCGCGUAAACAACAUUUAAAAAAAAUUGUUUUCAUUCCACAUGUCAAAAUCCUCUUUUUCUCCGGGCAUCAUUAUAAAGUUCCCAGGUACGCGAGCUUUCAUUGCGCUACCCGGAGAUAUACAGCGCCCCCCCCCCCUUUCAUCCCCCCCUCCCUCGUGCAAUCCGCCACCGGUAUCGCUGCUCCAAGUGUUCCAUAUAUUUGCGGAUGAUUUGGAGUCACGGUGUGCACGGCGUGCUUGUUUUUUUUUUUUGCCUCCUCGCAACUUUUUGUGUGAAUUCAGCCUCAUUAGGGAGAAGACGCAGCGGGUUCCGGACAAUGGAUGAAGCCGUGAGUCCUGUUAUUGUCACCAGGCUCGUCCUUUUUUUCCUCCUCUUUUUUUUUUCUUCUUUUGGCUUCCUCUAUCCGUGCGUCUGCGUCUGUGUGAACGAGUGAGCGCGUGAGCGCGUGCGUGCGUGCGCGCGUGUGCUCGCGCUACGGGAGGUGGGAGGAAUAGAGAAUGUGUAGCUCACCCUUCCGGACGGCCCAUGGAACCACGUGGAUGAGGGCUGAGCUGUAGAGCGGGCAGAAGCCUGCCUGUCGUCGGCCCGGGGCCCGUCGCGCCACCGAGGUCAAGCGCCAAUCGCAGAAAACGGACCGAGACGAGGUCUUUGCUCCCACUCCUCGCUCACCCCCGCCCCCCUUUCCACCCUCCCCCUCCCAC
ensembl:lncRNA